CUCAAAUAUUUCCACUUCUUUCUGUCCCUACUGCCACCACUUGAAUCCAGACCACCACCACCCCUCCUCCCGAUUCCCACUGAAGCCUCCUAGCUGGUCUCCUCUCUUACCCAGCACUUAAAGCGGAUCGAGUAACUCCCCUGCGUCAGUGAUUUGCAGGCUGGGUGCUCUCUUCUAUAUCCUAUCACUCCCUUCUGUCUGGCCUUCCCCCAGUUAUUCUCUAAGACCUUUGGGGAGCGGACAGGGUGACUCGAGUUGAGGUGAGAGAGUUACGGAAGGGCCGGAGUAAGAGUUACUCAUUCAAGUAAUUUACUGCGUGCCCACUGCCAGUGCUCUGGGCACUGUGGAUACAACAGUGAACGAGGGGGGCCGGGGGGGCGGGUAAGGGGGAGGAGGGGACGACGACACAGGCAGAGUUCCUGCCCUCGUAGAGCUUCCGUUCCAACAGGAUCCAAAGGAAAGGAGACCAACGCUUCCGGGCGCCGACAACGAGCUGGCGCGGUGCUAACCGCUUUGACACCCAGCCUGCCACCUGUGACUCUGGGCAGGCCUCAGUGCGCCUCAUCUGCAAAAUGAGAUCACAGUGGGUAGCUCCUGACCCUGGCGCUCCCGUGCUAGGGGGCGGGGGUGCAGGCUGAGGAGAGAGGCGGUCGCACCACCUGCCCCGCCCCAUCCCAUCCCCGCCCACUCCGGGCCCGGGGCGGGGGGCAGGGCCCAGAGGUCAGGUGGCCGGGCGGCGCGCGCCGGUUCCGAGCGCCAACUGCCGGCCGCCCCCCCCCCGCCCCCCGGCCCCGCGCCCCCCCUGCCCGGGCUGGAAGGCUGCGGCCCCUGCCGGUGCGAGCCCGGCCCGAGAGGCGGGAACGCGGCGCGGGCUCGCCGGCACUGCUAGACGGCGAGGUCCAGCCUGGGUGGGGCAGCGACCGCCGUGCAGGGAGGGAGGCGCUGGGCGCAGAGCGGGCAGCGAGACUGGAGAAGUGUGGAGCUGGGACGCCCGGCCGGGGUUGCGCCCAGUCGGGGAGGGGCAUGGCGAGACCUGCCCCCCAGCUUUGUCUUAGUUACUCUGAGGCAAGGGGCUGCGCUGGGCCGGAGCAACUAUACAGUGCCUGGCCCCGCCGACCCUCAAAGUGUCCCGGCUACAUUGCAACCGCGGCGCGGGGAGAACACAGGAAAGGAGUGGUCACUGGGCCGACAAAGGGUAACUGCCAUUAUUAAGCACCCAGGCUGGCCAGGCGCCGUCACCACCCCUUCUGUCCCGCGGUGGCAGCCCAGGCACACAGGGCACAGGCAUGUGUCCUAGGAUUGUGGAAGAGGCAGCGCUGGGAUACGAACCUGGGACAUGGGGCUCUUGGCCCCCUGCGCCAGGCUGAGGAAGACGUGUGCUUGAACCAGGCUUUGAAAAUUGGGGAGGGUUUGAUGGGUGCAGGUAACGGAGCAAGCUCUGCCCUCAUGGCCGUGAGACCUCGGGAAGACGUUUGAUCUUGGUGGGCGCACUUUCCUCCUCCGUAAAAGUGGCCGCACUUAGGAAAACGAGUAACUAAUAUGUCCACCUCCUAGCAAAUUAUUGGAAGGAACAUGAGAAACCUUCUCUCUUAAAACAGAGUUAGAAGAUGAGCUGAUACCGGAUUUCUCUGCCUACGUGGUGGGCAGCAUUCCGCUGGAGCCGCUAGCUCUGUUUCCUCUAGAAGGCGUCGUCCUCUUCAGUUUGCUGGUCCUCACUGUUUACAGGAUUCAAGCGUCUGUACUCACAUCUGGCCGCUGAGAGCAGCAUGGCUUUUGCCAAGUGGCGCCAUGUCCACACCCUGGGAUCCGAACCGGUGAACCCGGGCCGCCAAGAAGGGGAACGGACAAACUUAACCGCUGCACCGCGAGGCCGGCCCCAUGCGUGUUCUUAAACAUCACCCCUCUCUUCAAGGUCUAGGAGCAUGUGAAAAACACUGGAUAUGGAUUAGGAGACCUGGAU
rnacentral:lncRNA from 1 species